rnacentral:rRNA from 1 species
UACGAAGGGGGCUAGCGUUGCUCGGAAUCACUGGGCGUAAAGCGCACGUAGGCGGACUCUUAAGUCGGUGGUGAAAUCCUGGAGCUCAACUCCAGAACUGCCUUCGAUACUGGGAGUCUCGAGUCCGGGAGAGGUGGGUGGAACUGCGAGUGUAGAGGUGAAAUUCGUAGAUAUUCGCAAGAACACCAGUGGCGAAGGCGGCUCACUGGCCCGGUACUGACGCUGAGGUGCGAAAGCGUGGGGAGCAAACAGG